rnacentral:piRNA from 1 species
UCAGACGGGGCGGUCGCCAGGCAGAGGGUC